CAGCAUCCCAGUUGUUGGGAAACACUAAGAUUGCUUAGCUUUCCAGAAUUAUGUUAAAUUCAGCUAUUCUAUUUUAGGUACACAGUAUUUCUGCAUUUUAGCUGGAAGGAAAGGUAAUUUUUCAAUGCAAUAGCUUUCAGGGUCAUACCUUCCACUUAACGAUUGCUGAUGAAUUUAAAUAAAAAUAAGAUCGGUGACACCUGUCUUGUCUUCCUGGAAACUAUUACUACAAGAGGUUAUAACAUGCUAUCAAGUUUAUGAACCAGUUCAUUCAGAAGUAGUCCCUGUUUUCAUUAGCAGUAUUUGUCCCUCCCUUGUUUCAUACCUUAUCUGUUCUCAGCUCUUAAGGCAAGAGCAAUUUUUUAAGACUUGGGUUAUUUCAAACACUGCUUGAAAACAUAGUAGCAUUAUUUUAGCCCUGUACUUUCUGUAACUGAUUAAGGGCAGAAUAUAUCCUUUAUUUUCUUCAAUUUUACCGUCUCACUAAUUGGUAACAAUCUAAUAAAUAUGCCCAGCAGCUAAUACUUAUUGGCUUUGCUUUCAGCAUUUUCUAUAAAACCAUACUCUGCUGCAAUUAUCCUGCAGCUACUAGCUCUGGUCAUCAUUUCCAAGGUAAUUGUAGCACUAUGACUCCUACAACCUAUUUUUGACAAUUGACAACCUAUUUAACCUUAAUUGCCAGGCACUGCCUUUACUAAGAAGAGCAUUGGUAGAAGUGUAAGACAGCAACUAAUACUUUAUGGACUUUUUUAAAAAAAAAUAAAAGAUGUAUAACAAG